AGCUCAGUGGUGGAGUGCUUGUCUAGCUUACAAGACUCCUGGGUUCAAUUCCCAG
rnacentral:tRNA from 1 species